UGAAACCGUUUAGGGGUAAACCUGAGAAACCCGAAAGGUCGAAGGGAGAAAUUCAUUCGCGUUUCGUUCGUCGGCGUCGAAUAAUUUAGCGACGGGAAUGCGUUUGCGCUUUUCUCGCGCAUCUUGUUCGACGAAUGCCAGAUAACGAACGUGUGCACUUUUCUCCUGGUAGGACGUCGCGAUCCGUUGGGUGUCGAUCUACGAUCCGCGGUGGAGCCCAUUGGCGGCGUUUAGGCGCUCGUCGAUGGACCCGUGAUUGAUCUGAUCGACUCACUUGACGGUAUACGAAUGGUUAGGGGCCGCUUUUAUAAGCGUCUGACCGAUAGCAAGCGCGCCGGUUUCGUUGUCGAUCUCGGACCUAGUGCCGAUCCCAACUUCCGGUGACUGUUGGCCGUCGAGUUCUUGGACAGACUCCCUGUUAUCUCUUUUAGAGAUGACAGUCAUAAUAACCGAUCUGCGACGCUAUAGCUUUGGGUAAUUUCAGGACCCGUCUUGAAACACGGACCAAGGAGUCUAGCAUGUACGCAAGUCAUUGGGAAUAUCAAUAAACCUAAAGGCGAAAUGAAAGUAAAGAUCUUCCUAGCGAAGAUCGAGGGAAGAGGGGCGGUUUUUCGUCGUAAAAAACGAGGCCGUCUCGCAUUCCCGGGGCGUCUCGUUCUCAUUGCGAGAUGAGGCGCACCGAGAGCGUACACGCUGGGACCCGAAAGAUGGUGAACUAUGCCUGGUCAGGAUGAA
rnacentral:rRNA from 1 species